UCGAAACUUACUGUGCGUCGAAGGCCAAACCGGCAGGCCGUACGCACGUUCAAUAGAUAAGUGGGAAAUAUUCGCGGUGGAAGCGGAAAUGAGUUUUCCGACAGGAGAGCCACGGAAGCGAUAUCCUGCCACUUUGAUGAUGGGUGAUUUUGCUGCGUAUUCUUUCGCGUUGGUACGAGUGAGGCUUCCGCAUGGAAUUAUAGUUACCGUUCUUCGGGGAAACCACAUCCAUGCACCGUUUGAUCGCAGCUCGGCAACACUGGUCAAACAGGGUGAUUUUUACACCACAAUGGAAGAUGGGGGUCAAACUAGCUCUUCAGCAAAAUGCCGAAAAAUUAAACAUGAGCGCAAUAUCGCCGCGAUCGAUAAUGUCGGGAAAAAACGCCGCAAUACUUAUGAUAUCGAGGUGUUGGAACCUGAUUAUACGGACCAGUUGAACAGCGGUUUGGGCAUCCUGUCGAGAUCUUCCAGUGUCUGAAUACUUCACAACAGUGUCGAAUCCGAGUUGUAUGUAGUAAUUGGAAUGAUCUUCUGACGUCAGCUCUCAUAAGCAAUUGAACCAGUCUGGAGUAUGGAUACCUGUCAGCGGAAAAAUCAGCCGACGAAGAGUAUCUGAACGCCGCCAGCAUCUGUCACCGCUGGAGUAAACUGGUCACCGUCACGAACUCACCGCGAUUGAUACAUUUCAAACACCAAUUACCAACCAUGAAUGCCGCCGUCUUUCACCGCAUCG